rnacentral:rRNA from 1 species
ACGCUCGACACCUACGGGGGCAGCAGUGGGGAAUAGUUGCACAAUGGAGGAAACGUCUGAUGCAGCGACGCCGCGUGGAGGAAGAAGGUCUUCGGAUUGUAAACUUCCUGUUGUUGAGGACGAUAAUGACGGUACUCAACAAGGAAGUGACGGCUAACUACGUGUCAGCAGCCGCGGUAAUCUGAGGCGGGCGUGGCAAGGC